GCCGGGAUAGCAGAGUGGCCAAAUGCGCGGGCCUUGAGAGCCCGUGACCUUCGGGUCUCGGGGGUUCGAAUCCCUCUCCCGGCG
rnacentral:tRNA from 1 species